rnacentral:lncRNA from 1 species
AUGAGGGAAUCUAAUAUACAAUGUUACUUUCUGCACUGAUGAAGUGGGCCGCAAAUAAUCGGCUUAGCUGCUUGAAAGAAUAAAAGGAGUUUGGUUGGAGGCUCGAGUAUUAGUAUUGAGCUAUCUUUCAUAAGGUGGAAGGAAAUGCUCGAUCAAGAAUACCAUUUGUAGCUCUAUGGAGGAGCAUGAGAGUCUUAAAACUCUCCAGCAAUCAAUAGGAUUGGUUAUCCCAUUGUAUGGCUCUAGUUGGGACAUUUUAAACUGAUUUGAGAUUGGCUCAUCCAUGAUUCUCUUGUUGAAAGAUAGAUCCAUGUCGAAACCAACCUCACCAUUCUAUGUUGGGUUGAUCUGCAAUACUUCGUUUUGCCUUUUCAUCUCCUAUAGUCGAUGUAUGUUGGCAUCUUCGGCAAUAUAGUAUUCUGAGUGUCGGGGUAGAGAACAUAUUGAUGUGGAGAAUUGUAAGAAUCUAGCCCUAAUUUUUAUUACAUUCUUUUGCACAAAUCUUAAAGCCAAGAAAAAGAAGAACCCAAAGAAGAGAGUCCAGAUUAGACUCUAUUUUUUUUUCUCUUGUGUAUAAUGAGAUCAAGGAUAGAGUCCUAAUCUGAGCCAAAUAGGGCCAAUAAAUCCUAAGAAAUAUCCUUUAUAAGAGGACAACCACCUCUCCAUUGAACUCCAUCAUGAUUUCCUGAGGAAUCGUCACCAAGGGCCAUAGAUCUCUUGAGUUUUUCCUUUCAAGAUUUCUUAGUUUUAUUGAGAAAAGACCACCAGAUCCCUCUCCAUUGGCCUCACUGGGCCUAGGUAGCUUCCUCCCCUUCCUUCUCUUUCUUUUUUCGGGCUUCUCAUUGCCGACGCAGGGUAUGGGGCCGGCAAGCUGCUAAUUUUACUUUUAAAUAGGGCAGUCCCUAUUUUAGAUUUGGGAAUCCACCAACCUCCAUUAGCAAGGCUUGUCAUUGAGGGUAUAGUCUCACUACUAUAUGGAGCCGUUGUAGGUGGCCGGCCCUAGUUUCCACCAUCAUCGUGGUUGGGAAGAAAAAAAAAUAAAGGGAAAAGAACUCCUUAUUUUGGAGAAGAAGAAAAGAUGAGAGGAGAGGGUUUCUCUCUCUUCUCUAAUUAUUUGAUUAUCAAUUAAUUAAUUAAUUAGUUCAUUAAUUAUUUUUUUUCUCUCUCUUGUAUAGAUUAAGAAAAUUUUAGAUGGAAAAUUUUGGAGACUUGUUUAGUUUCUCUUAGAUGAACCAAGGGAUUCACGAGGAAAAUAAUCCAAGAAUUUGUCAAUGGACCUAAUGAACCCUGGUAGAGGGUUCUAGACAAAUAAUGACUAUACUAUAAAUUUUAUUUUAAUAUUAAUUUUGGAUCUAUAGGAGAAUAAUUUCUUGAACAAAAGGAUAUCAAGCAAGAUCCUUGACAUUUAGAUCGUAAAUCUUGUGAGUUUAGUUUAACGACAAUAGAGGUAAGAAUUUUUGAACAUUGAUCAUCUAUUUAUAUAAAAAUUAUUUUGUACAUCAGUGAUUUUGAUUCAUGUGUUUUUUAUAGUGACAUGUCAUACUUAAUUGUUAAGUAUAUAUCUAUGACUUGUAUGAUGUUAUAUAUUACAUAUCACUGAUCUUGAUUUGGAUGAAUUUUGAUAAUCAUAUACAUCAAGCUUUCACAAAAAAGAUGUGAUCUGAAAUUUCAAUACCUAAUAAGCUAGUCAUUGAAUACUAUGACUAUAUGUGGGGUUGUGGUACUUUGGGCUAGCCACGUUGUUGAUGCCCUGGCAUAGGCUAGAGAUAUGAUUGUGGUAUUCUACAGGACUAGCCACGAUAUUAAUACCUUGCCAUGGAAUGUAAACAUAGCUAUGAUAUUUCAGAGUUAAACACCUAUGGUCCCCUAGACUAGCCACUAUUAGUGCCUUACCAUAGACUAUAAACAUGGUUGUGAUAGUUGAGGCUUGAGCACUUAUGAUCCCCUGGACUAGCCAUAGUAUUGGUGCCCCACCAUGGAUAAAAAAUAUGGUUUUGAUAGUCUACAGGACUAGCAAUGAUAUUGGUGCCUCAUCACAGAUUGGAAAUAUGGUUGUGAUAAUCCAUAAGACUAGCCACGGUAUUAGUGCCUUGUCAUGGGUUGAAAUGUGGCUAUGGUAGUCUAGAGUCGAGCACCUUGAUAUGAUCAGAUCCAAUGUAUGUUAUCUUGAAAUAAUUAUAAAAUAUGAUUUAUUGCAUAAAAAGA